rnacentral:pre_miRNA from 13 species
ACAACUAUUGUAACACUUUCUCUUGCUGCAGUGUUUCCUAGAGGGUAAAAUUCAUAAUCUUAUAGUAGGAGUGGAGGUUGAAGACAAGGGCCCAU